rnacentral:rRNA from 1 species
GGGGAAUCUUCCGCAAUGGGCGAAAGCCUGACGGAGCAAUGCCGCGUGAAUGAAGAAGGCCUUCGGGUCGUAAAAUUCUGUCCUUAUUGAAGAGAGGUUCAUGUGUAAACAAUGCAUGAAUAGGACGGUAGAUAAGGAGGAAGCCCCGGCUAACUACGUGCCAGCAGCCGCGGUAAUACGUAGGGGGCGAGCGUUGUCCGGAAUCACUGGGCGUAAAGGGCGCGUAGGCGGCCUAGUAAGUCAGAUGUGAAAAGUGAGGGCUCAACCCUUAGAGUGCAUCUGAUACUGCUAGGCUUGAGUACAGAAGAGGAAAGCGGAAUUCCUAGUGUAGCGGUGAAAUGCGUAGAUAUUAGGAGGAACACCAGUGGCGAAGGCGGCUUUCUGGGCUGAAACUGACGCUGAGGCGCGAAAGCGUGGGGAGCAAACAGGAUUAGAUACCCUGGUAGUCCACGCCGUAAACGAUGGGUACUAGGUGUCGGGGGUAUCGAUACCCUCGGUGCCGGAGUAAACACAAUAAGUACCCCGCCUGGGGAGUACGAUCGCAAGAUUGAAACUCAAAGGAAUUGACGGGGGCCCGCACAAGCGGUGGAGCAUGUGGUUUAAUUCGACGCAACGCGAAGAACCUUACCAAGACUUGACAUCCUGCUGACGGAUUGGGUAAUGCCGAUCGUUCUACUUCGGUAGACAGCAGAGACAGGUGGUGCAUGGUUGUCGUCAGCUCGUGUCGUGAGAUGUUGGGUUAAGUCCCGCAACGAGCGCAACCCUUGUCUUUAGUUGCCAGCAUUAAGUUGGGCACUCUAAAGAGACUGCCGGUGACAAACCGGAGGAAGGUGGGGAUGACGUCAAAUCAUCAUGCCCCUUAUGUCUUGGGCUACACACGUGCUACAAUGGUCGGUACAAAGGGCAGCGAGACCGCGAGGUGGAGCGAAUCCCAAAAAGCCGAUCCCAGUUCGGAUUGCAGGCUGCAACCCGCCUGCAUGAAGUCGGAAUCGCUAGUAAUCGCAGGUCAGCAUACUGCGGUGAAUACGUUCCCG